UCAUAGAAUUUCUUAAAAUUCAUGAUGUCGUAAGGGAAAAUAAUGAUAUUACCUUACUAUGAGUGUCGUCCAAAUCUGGUGCCAGAAGACUCGGUAAGACCAGAGACGCAAACGUUAAUCAUCCUAAACAGGCGUAAAGGGUUUGUAGGCAGCACCCAUAAGAUUACUAUUGCAAAAUUUAUAAAGUAAUCUGAUUGGGUGCUAGAAUCAAAAAGAGGUUAUAGUGUAUAACGCCUAGAGGAGGGCUGAUAUCCAUAGAUCCUAGGCAGAAUACUAAAGGCGAAGGCCACUCUCCACUAAUGAUUGACGCUGAGAAACGAAGGUUAGGGUAGGAAAUAGGAUUAGAUACCCCGGUACUCCUUUCUGUAAACGAUGAAUGGUAGUCAUUAGUAAAAGUAAAAUUACUAGAGACGAAGUUAACACAAUAACCAUUCCGCCUUGUGAGUACUACUGCAAAGUAGAAAACAAAAAAAUUAGUCGGUCUCGAAGCAAACGGAGUGAAGCAUGUUAUUUA
rnacentral:rRNA from 1 species